rnacentral:rRNA from 1 species
UACGUAGGGCGCAAGCGUUAUCCGGAAUUAUUGGGCGUAAAGAGCUCGUAGGCGGUUUGUCGCGUCUGCUGUGAAAGACCGGGGCUCAACUCCGGUUCUGCAGUGGGUACGGGCAGACUAGAGUGCAGUAGGGGAGACUGGAAUUCCUGGUGUAGCGGUGAAAUGCGCAGAUAUCAGGAAGAACACCCGUGGCGAAGGCGGCUCUCUGGGACGGUACUGACGCUGAGACGCGAAAGCGUGGGGAGCAAACAGG